UUUUCCGAAAAUGCCGCGUCUGGUCGGCGCCCAAAAUCCCCACCGAAAAGUCCCCCGUGCUUCUCGCGGAGGGACACAUGGUGUGCGAGAUUUAAGAGCAAUGGACACUGAACUUAGAUUAAAAUCAGGCAAUUGGGGUUAAGUGACUUGCCCAGGGUCACACAGCUAGCCCAGCCUCUGUAAAAAUCAAUCUCUGAAGGACAUGGCUGAUUGAUGAGAUUGCCCUAACCCUUGGGGAACAUGUUCCUUGAUCUUAGGCUAGACCCUACCCAACUAGGAGACCUUCUAUUUAGAGUGUAAACAGAAUCCAGUCUGGGUGAGUUCUUGCCCAAAGGAAAACAGCUCCUGUCCUUGGACCCCUCCGUUGGAAUUAGGGUACCCAGCUCAUGAAGGAGAAAACCAAUCAGAGUGGACUGAAUGGAAAUGGAUUCCCCUGUCAAGAUUGCUGGAGGUGGCUGAGUCUCAAGAUCAAGUCAUUUUCUCAGCAGGAGGAGCUGAAGUCUUCUAGCCCACUUCCUUAUUAGAUGUCCACCAAUCAGAGUUGAUGUUCAUUUGUCAGAAGCAUCCCCUUUUCAAAAAGUAUGUUAAGUCUUUCAGCCUCUCCAUGGUUAUAUCUUUGGUUUUCUGAGAGAAACCACUGACCAUCGAUUUAUUGAUUAUUAGCUAUCCUAAUUAAUAAACUGAUUAUUAAUU